GAAACACAGACAUGGGUUCCGGCGCGGGCUUCUGCCGUAUGGCGUGCUUCGAAGCUUUAAGUCGCGGCUGCACCAGUUACGGCAUGGACUUCUGCAAUUGCGGUUACGGGACUCUCUUCUGCUCCGGAGUUCUCGCACGGCCCGUUGGAGCUCCCGGAAUAUACGUAUGCGACGCGCGGCGGCCAUUGCAUCCUUUCUCGCGCACGAGCGGUCGCGCCUUGACGCCAACGACGCCGUUGCUGCCGACAAGUCUGAAGUCUCGCCUAUCGCGGUCUUUUCUUUUGUGCGCGUGUUCCCCCGAAAGAACUGACCCUGCCAUUCAACCGAGGGACAACGAGGCAACUGUCGUCGGCAGCUGCUUCAACUACCUUUGGAGGUGCAGCUCGUGCAACCAGGUGACAGUGGCACUGCCCUGAGGGACAACGCAGCUACUGUCGCCGCAGCCUCGCUUCGGCAUCUAAUCUCCGAGGUGGGAGUGUUUAGCUUGCGAGGGCGGCGCGGCCAUUAACUUCCUCAUCAAAACUGAUUGACGACAUUGGCAAAUUAUGUGCAGUUAACUCUGGUGCUUAAUUGGGCACGAGCUUCCUUGGACGGCCGCAGCCACAUCGGGUCGUCGCCGUGACGGAAGCGGAGAGGACGGGGUGGGGCGAUUCUAGCUUCAGGCUCAGCUAACACUAGGAAGGUAGCUGACGCUGCGCGCAGGCAACAGCUGGCAGGGGUCCUCUCUCUCGUUUGCGACACGGCCAUCGGCCCGUUCCGAGUGCCUAUCGCUUCCCGGCCACAAUUUCGCGUCCACGCGCGCGAAAGGGCGCGAAAUGUGGAAUCGCGGAAGUCGGUGGCAUCCGGAAUUAGCGUCAGGCUAACCAGUGGCGUAUUACUUCCAGUUCAUCCAGCUACGCUGAAGAACGGACGUUGCCUUCGGUCCGCGGCGCGGCGCGUUGCGGCCAAAGUACGUGCCCACUUUUUUUUUUCUUUUCCAUUCCUUGUGCCACGCUGUGUUUUUGUCGCUCGACACGCGGACCAUGUUUGACGAGUUCAUCUCCGCCACGGUUCGUGCGAUCACGCUUGUCACGGUGAGUACCUACUUUCCGGUUAUAUUUGUAAUUAGAACAGUUGCCCCUUUUUAUAAGUUUCAGGUACGCAUCCUAUAGGCCUCCGCAUCCAGCGCACUCCACUAACGUCCCUGCGCGAAGAAGUGUGACGGACUGUUUACGUUCAGUGUCUGUCGUACCGUGGCUGACCGCCUGUGCACUACUCCAGCCAUACAGCUACUGGUUUCUUGGCCAAUGAAGAAACCUGCACGACCAGCCCUGCAGUACGUCGACUGCUUUUCCCCAGACUUGGCCAUCAGUUCCGUGCGGCGGAUUUUCCUGCACCCUGCCGUGUCCCGGACGGAUGACGUUCAUCGCCUGUUCCGCGGCUGACCGCCUGUGCACUACUCCUCCAGCCACACAGCUACUGGUUUCUUGGCCAAUGAAGAAACCUGCACGACCAGCCCUGCAGUACGUCGACUGCUUUUCCCCAGACUUGGCCAUCAGUCCCGUGCGGCUGAUUUUCCUGCACCCUGCCGUGUCCCGGACGGAUGACGUUCAUCGCCUGUUCCGCGGCUGACCGCCUGUGCACUCCUCCUCCAGCCACACAGCUACUGGUUUCAUGGCCAAUGAACAAACCUGCACGACCAGCCCUGCAGUACGUCGAUUGCGCGUAGGUAAAUCAGAAUUCUUCCG
rnacentral:lncRNA from 1 species